rnacentral:rRNA from 1 species
GGGGAAUUUUGGACAAUGGGCGCAAGCCUGAUCCAGCCAUGCCGCGUGUCUGAAGAAGGCCUUUGGGUUGUAAAGGACUUUUGUCAGGGAAGAAAAGGGCGGGGUUAAUACCCCUGUCUGAUGACGGUACCUGAAGAAUAAGCACCGGCUAACUACGUGCCAGCAGCCGCGGUAAUACGUAGGGUGCGAGCGUUAAUCGGAAUUACUGGGCGUAAAGCGAGCGCAGACGGUUUAUUAAGCAAGAUGUGAAAUCCCCGAGCUUAACUUGGGAACUGCGUUUUGAACUGGUAAGCUAGAGUAUGUCAGAGGGGGGUAGAAUUCCACGUGUAGCAGUGAAAUGCGUAGAGAUGUGGAGGAAUACCGAUGGCGAAGGCAGCCCCCUGGGAUAAUACUGACGUUCAUGCUCGAAAGCGUGGGUAGCAAACAGGAUUAGAUACCCUGGUAGUCCACGCCCUAAACGAUGUCAAUUAGCUGUUGGGGCACUUGAUGCCUUAGUAGCGAAGCUAACGCGUGAAAUUGACCGCCUGGGGAGUACGGUCGCAAGAUUA